GAGUUUGAUCCUGGCUCAGGACGAACGCUGGCGGCGUGCCUAAUACAUGCAAGUCGAACGAACUCUGGUAUUGAUUGGUGCUUGCAUCAUGAUUUACAUUUGAGUGAGUGGCGAACUGGUGAGUAACACGUGGGAAACCUGCCCAGAAGCGGGGGAUAACACCUGGAAACAGAUGCUAAUACCGCAUAACAGCUUGGACCGCAUGGUCCGAGCUUGAAAGAUGGCUUCGGCUAUCACUUUUGGAUGGUCCCGCGGCGUAUUAGCUAGAUGGUGGGGUAACGGCUCACCAUGGCAAUGAUACGUAGCCGACCUGAGAGGGUAAUCGGCCACAUUGGGACUGAGACACGGCCCAAACUCCUACGGGAGGCAGCAGUAGGGAAUCUUCCACAAUGGACGAAAGUCUGAUGGAGCAACGCCGCGUGAGUGAAGAAGGGUUUCGGCUCGUAAAACUCUGUUGUUAAAGAAGAACAUAUCUGAGAGUAACUGUUCAGGUAUUGACGGUAUUUAACCAGAAAGCCACGGCUAACUACGUGCCAGCAGCCGCGGUAAUACGUAGGUGGCAAGCGUUGUCCGGAUUUAUUGGGCGUAAAGCGAGCGCAGGCGGUUUUUUAAGUCUGAUGUGAAAGCCUUCGGCUCAACCGAAGAAGUGCAUCGGAAACUGGGAAACUUGAGUGCAGAAGAGGACAGUGGAACUCCAUGUGUAGCGGUGAAAUGCGUAGAUAUAUGGAAGAACACCAGUGGCGAAGGCGGCUGUCUGGUCUGUAACUGACGCUGAGGCUCGAAAGUAUGGGUAGCAAACAGGAUUAGAUACCCUGGUAGUCCAUACCGUAAACGAUGAAUGCUAAGUGUUGGAGGGUUUCCGCCCUUCAGUGCUGCAGCUAACGCAUUAAGCAUUCCGCCUGGGGAGUACGGCCGCAAGGCUGAAACUCAAAGGAAUUGACGGGGGCCCGCACAAGCGGUGGAGCAUGUGGUUUAAUUCGAAGCUACGCGAAGAACCUUACCAGGUCUUGACAUACUAUGCAAAUCUAAGAGAUUAGACGUUCCCUUCGGGGACAUGGAUACAGGUGGUGCGUGGUUGUCGUCAGCUCGUGUCGUGAGAUGUUGGGUUAAGUCCCGCAACGAGCGCAACCCUUAUUAUCAGUUGCCAGCAUUAAGUUGGGCACUCUGGUGAGACUGCCGGUGACAAACCGGAGGAAGGUGGGGAUGACGUCAAAUCAUCAUGCCCCUUAUGACCUGGGCUACACACGUGCUACAAUGGAUGGUACAACGAGUUGCGAACUCGCGAGAGUAAGCUAAUCUCUUAAAGCCAUUCUCAGUUCGGAUUGUAGGCUGCAACUCGCCUACAUGAAGUCGGAAUCGCUAGUAAUCGCGGAUCAGCAUGCCGCGGUGAAUACGUUCCCGGGCCUUGUACACACCGCCCGUCACACCAUGAGAGUUUGUAACACCCAAAGUCGGUGGGGUAACCUUUUAGGAACCAGCCGCCUAAGGUGGGACAGAUGAUUAGGGUGAAGUCGUAACAAGGUAGCCGUAG
rnacentral:rRNA from 1 species